rnacentral:misc_RNA from 1 species
CGGAGGGAUCAUUACAGAGUUUUCUAACUCCCAAACCCAUGUGAACUUACCUUUGUUGCCUCGGCAGAAGCUACCCUGUAGCGCGGUUCAGCCUACCCUGUAGCGAUAUUCUGCCGGUGGACUACUCAACUCUUGUUAUUUUAUUGUAAUCUGAGCGUCUUAUUUUAAUAAGUCAAAACUUUCAACAACGGAUCUCUUGGUUCUGGCAUCGAUGAAGAACGCAGCGAAAUGCGAUAAGUAAUGUGAAUUGCAGAAUUCAGUGAAUCAUCGAAUCUUUGAACGCACAUUGCGCCCAUUAGUAUUCUAGUGGGCAUGCCUGUUCGAGCGUCAUUUCAACCCUUAAGCCUAGCUUAGUAUUGGGAAUCUACUGUAUUGUAGUUCCUCAAAUCCAACGGCGGAUCUGUGGUAUCCUCUGAGCGUAGUAAAUUUUUAUCUCGCUUUUGUUAGGUGCUGCAGCUCCCAGCCGCUAAACCCCCCAAUUUUUAAUGGUUGACCUCGGAUCAGGUAGGAAUACCCGCUGAACUUAAGCAUAUCAA